rnacentral:rRNA from 1 species
GGCAACUUUCUUUAGUGGCGGACGGGUGAGUAACGCGUAAGAAUCUUCCCUUUAGAGUGGUAUAACCUUUGGAAACGAUGGUUAAUCCCGCAUACGAGAGUAAUCUUGAAAGGUACAGCAAUGUAUCGCUAGAGGAUGAGCUUGCGUCUGAUUAGCUUGUUGGUGAGGUAAUGGCUCACCAAGGCGAUGAUCAGUAGCUGGUUUGAGAGAACGACUAGCCACACUGGGACUGAGACACGGCCCAGACUCCUACGGGAGGCAGCAGUGGGGAAUUUUUCGCAAUGGGCGCAAGCCUGACGGAGCAAUACUGCGUGGAGGAUGAAGGCUCGUGGGUUGUAAACUCCUUUUCCUAGAGAAGAAAACAUUGACGGUAUCUAGGGAAUAAGCAUUGGCUAACUACGUGCCAGCAGCUGCGGUAAUACGUGGAAUGCAAGCGUUAUCCGGAUUUAUUGGGCGUAAAGCGUCUGUAGGUUGCUUCGCAAGUUUGCUGUUAAAUUGUUCGGCUCAACCGAAUCCCAGCAGCAAAACCUAUGAAGCUUGAGUGUGGUAGAGGAAAAAGGAAUUCCCUGUGGAGCGGUGAAAUGCGUAGAGAUAGGGAAGAACACCAAUGGCGAAAGCAUUCUUCUGGGCCUGCACUGACACUGAGAGACGAAAGCUAGGGGAGCGAGCGGGAUUAGAUACCCCGUUAGUCCUAGCCGUAAACGAUGGAAACUUGAUCUUG